rnacentral:rRNA from 1 species
GACGAACGCUGGCGGCGUGCCUAAUACAUGCAAGUCGAGCGAUGACGUUUGGUCCUUGCACCAAUUUGAAGAUCAGCGAACGGGUGAUUAACGCGUGGUGAAUCUGCCUUUGAGCGGGGGACGACAUUUGGGAACGAAUGCUAAUACCCCAUAACAACUUUAAACAUAAUGUUUACGUUUUAAAUAUGCUAUUUCAUCACUCAAAGAUGAUCCCGCGUUGUAUUAGCUAGUUGGUGGGGUAAAGUCUCACCCAGGCGUUGAUAGAUAGCCGACCUGAGAGGGGGAGAGGCAACAUUGGGACUGAGACACGGCCCAAAACCCUGCGGGAGGCAGCAGUAGGGGACUCUCGGGGGAGGACGAAAGUCUGAACGAGCAACGCCGCGCGAGUGAAGAAGGUUGUCGGAUCGUAAAACUCAGUAGGUAGAGAAGAACGUUGGUGAGAGUGGAAAGCUCAGAAAGUGACGGUAACUACCCAGAAAGGGACGGCUAACUACGUG